CCCAUCUUGGCUCAGAGGAUAAGGCGUCUGCCUGCAAUGCAGGAGACCCGGGUUCGAUCCCUGGGUUGGGA
rnacentral:tRNA from 1 species